rnacentral:misc_RNA from 1 species
AAGUCGUAACAAGGUUUCCGUAGGUGAACCUGCGGAAGGAUCAUUACUGAGUAAAGGUCGCUAAAUUUAGUGCCUAACUCCCGCCCUUUGUGUAUCAAAUUAUUCAUCUUUGGCAAAUGGCAGAUCCUUACGUUAUUUAAUACUUAAAGGGCCACUGGACUAGUGUAUGCUAUGAGUGAGUCUUUGCCAAAGGCUUCUCCAAACUCUUUAUUAUUCUUGUUGUCUGAGUAAAAUGAAAAUAAAUCAAAA